rnacentral:rRNA from 1 species
UACGGAGGAUGCGAGCGUUAUCCGGAUUUAUUGGGUUUAAAGGGUGCGUAGGCGGGAUGCCAAGUCAGCGGUAAAAAUGCGGUGCUCAACGCCGUCGAGCCGUCGAAACUGGCGUUCUUGAGUGGGCGAGAAGUAUGCGGAAUGCGUGGUGUAGCGGUGAAAUGCAUAGAUAUCACGCAGAACUCCGAUUGCGAAGGCAGCAUACCGGCGCCCUACUGACGCUGAGGCACGAAAGCGUGGGUAUCGAACAGG